rnacentral:rRNA from 4 species
GAGUGGACGCAUCACUGGUGUUCGGGUUGUCAUGCCAAUGGCACUGCCCGGUAGCUAAAUGCGGAAGAGAUAAGUGCUGAAAGCAUCUAAGCACGAAACUUGCCCCGAGAUGAGUUCUCCCUGAGACUUUAAGUCUCCUGAAGGAACGUUGAAGACGACGACGUUGAUAGGUCGGGUGUGUAAGCGCAGCGAUGCGUUGAGCUAACCGAUACUAAUGAACCGUGAGGCUUAACCUUACAACGCCGAAGGUGUUU